UACGACUACAUAUCAGGCAUAUCAAUAGCGGAGGAAAAGAAACUAACUAGGAUUCCCUUAGUAACGGCGAGUGAAGCGGGAAGAGCUCAAAUUUGAAAUCUUCAAGGUUUUACCUUGACGAAUUGUAGUUUAAAGAAGUGUUUUCUGUUGAAGUUUUGGUAAAAGUUCUUUGGAAUAGGACAUCAUAGAGGGUGAGAAUCCCGUAUUUGACCAUUAUUUUCAGCUGUGUGAUACACUUUCAAAGAGUCGGAUUGUUUGGGAAUGCAGUCCAAAAUGGGUGGUAAAUUUCAUCUAAAGCUAAAUAUUGGCGAGAGACCGAUAGCGAACAAGUACCGUGAGGGAAAGAUGAAAAGAACUUUGAAAAGAGAGUUAAACAGUACGUGAAAUUGUCAAAAGGGAAGCGUUUGACACCAGUGUUGUUUUCUCGAAAAUCAAUUAAAAAUAGUUGGAUUUUGUGUUGUAUUGACCUUAACAGCUUGCUUCACUCUUUUCCAGCUUUUUUUAAUGCACUUUUCGUUUAACAAGUCAACAUCAGUUUCUUUUGUUGUAAAAGGGUCAUUGGAAGGUGGCUUUCUCUUCGGAGAAAGUGUUUAUAGCCUUUGAUCUCUGCAAUCGGAGAGACUGAGGUCUGCAGCGUAGAUCCUUCGGGGUUAGAUACAUUUGUGCUAAGCUACAGCUUUUCAUAGACAACUUGUUGACUAUGUUUAGUCUUGUGACUUACCCGCUUAUGCUAUUUUACCUACGCUUAGGAUGUUGAGCGCAUGUCUCUCUCU
rnacentral:rRNA from 1 species